UGUAUAUAUCCUGAGUUAAAAUUAGUCAUGCCAAUAAUAAUAUAAAACUACUAUUUUAAUACUAUUAAUUUUUUGUAAAGAACCAUACAAGUUAUAAAUAGAAAAAGCUUAUUUGUUUUCAUUCCUUAUAUUUCAAUCCUUUUAACAAUUAAUGUUAGCAUGUAUUGUUCAGAAACAAUGUAUGCUGUCUCUUUUGACGAUUACACAUUCCUUAAUUACAUCCUAUCUUAUCCCAUUAUCCUUUUUUAAAUAUGUGGUAGACACUUGGGAACUAUUUCUUUGAGCAGAAGGUUCCAACAUUCAGCACAGAAUGAAACUGGGAAAAACCAGUCCAAUUUACUUCCUGAGAAAGGAAAGACAGAACACAAUUCAUUGGUAGAAGUUGACCAAGCUAAAUGCAUGUUAACAGUAAUGGCAAACACCUAGCACUAGACAGUCUAAAUCUAUAUGUUUUGAUGUGUUUUUGUUAUAAGUUAUUCACUUUUUUAUUAAAAAUGAAGUCAGAUUUUAACAAAUUACUGAGUCAUAACAGACCCAAUAAACGUAUACAAAACAGCUAUUCAUAUUUAAAUUGUUUCAAAAAGCUAGGUUGGAAUAAUAAUGUACUAUAUUUACAAUACAGUUUAUAUGGUAUAAUUACAUACAGUAAAUAUUAAAUUAGAUUUGCUAUUCAAAAUUAAAACAUUUUAAAGUUAGUAUGUUUGUGUGUGCAUGCAUGCACAAUUUCUCAACUUACAAAUAUAUACAGUGAGUUUUUCUUGAAACCAAACAUUCUGUUUUUUGGCAUCGAGCCAAUUCUGAUGGAUCUAUCAUGUCAGGAA
rnacentral:lncRNA from 1 species